GGCAGCCGCGGUAAUUCCAGCUCCAAUAGCGUAUAUUAAAGUUGCUGCAGUUAAAAAGCUCGUAGUUGAAUUUCGGGACCAUCAUGUCGGUCGUGCCUCGGUACGUACUGGUAUUGUUGGUUUCUCCCUUCUGACGAACCAUGAUGUCAUUUAUUUGGUGUUGUGGGGAAUCAGGACUGUUACUUUGAAAAAAUUAGAGUGUUUAAAGCAGGCUCACGCUUGAAUACAUUAGCAUGGAAUAAUGAAAUAGGACGUUUGAUUCUAUUUUGUUGGUUUCUAGGAUCGACGUAAUGAUUAAUAGGGAUAGUUGGGGGCAUUAGUAUUCAAUUGUCAGAGGUGAAAUUCUUGGAUUUAUUGAAGACUAACUACUGCGAAAGCAUUUGCCAAGGAUGUUUUCAUUAAUCAAGAACGAAAGUUAGGGGAUCGAAGACGAUCAGAUACCGUCGUAGUCUUAACCAUAAACUAUAGCCGACUAGGGAUCGGAUGAUGUUAAUUUUUAAUGACUCAUUCGGCGCCUUAA
rnacentral:rRNA from 1 species